rnacentral:rRNA from 1 species
AUUGAACGCUGGCGGCAUGCCUUACACAUGCAAGUCGAACGGUAACAGGGAGCUUGCUCCGCUGACGAGUGGCGAACGGGUGAGUAAUGCAUCGGAACGUACCCAGUAGUGGGGGAUAACGCAGCGAAAGCUGUGCUAAUACCGCAUACGCACUGAGGUGGAAAGCAGGGGACCUUCGGGCCUUGUGCUAUUGGAGCGGCCGAUGUCAGAUUAGCUAGUUGGUGGGGUAAAAGCUCACCAAGGCGACGAUCUGUAGCUGGUCUGAGAGGAUGAUCAGCCACACCGGGACUGGGACACGGCCCAGAAUCCUACGGGAGGCAGCAGUGGGGAAUUUUGGACAAUGGGGGCAACCCUGAUCCAGCCAUGCCGCGUGAGUGAAGAAGGCCUUCGGGUUGUAAAGCUCUUUCGGCCGGGAAGAAAUCGCCAUCUCUAACAUAGGUGGUGGAUGACGGUACCGGAAUAAGAAGCACCGGCUAACUACGUGCCAGCCGCCGCGGUAA